rnacentral:lncRNA from 10 species
GUUUCUAAUAUUGCUGUUGAGAGGUCUAAUACUGAUCUGGCUCAGAUUCUCUCUCUCUCUCUUUUUUCCUUUUUUUUUUUUUUUUUGAGAUAAGAGUCUUGCUCUCUUGCCCAGGCUGGAGUGCAGUGGCACGAUCUCGGCUUACCUCCACCUCCCAGGUUCAAGGGACUUUUGUGCCUCAGCCUCCCAGGGAGCUGGGACUAGCACCACCACACCCA